rnacentral:rRNA from 1 species
GACGAACGCUGGCGGCGUGCCUAAUACAUGCAAGUAGAACGCUGAAGGAGGAGCUUGCUUCUCUGGAUGAGUUGCGAACGGGUGAGUAACGCGUAGGUAACCUGCCUGGUAGCGGGGGAUAACUAUUGGAAACGAUAGCUAAUACCGCAUAAUAUUGACUGUUGCAUGAUAGUCAGUUGAAAGGUGCAACUGCACCACUACCAGAUGGACCUGCGUUGUAUUAGCUAGUUGGUGGGGUAACGGCUCACCAAGGCGACGAUACAUAGCCGACCUGAGAGGGUGAUCGGCCACACUGGGACUGAGACACGGCCCAGACUCCUACGGGAGGCAGCAGUAGGGAAUCUUCGGCAAUGGACGGAAGUCUGACCGAGCAACGCCGCGUGAGUGAAGAAGGUUUUCGGAUCGUAAAGCUCUGUUGUAAGAGAAGAACGAGUGUGAGAGUGGAAAGCUCACACUGUGACGGUAUCUUACCAGAAAGGGACGGCUAACUACGUG